rnacentral:tRNA from 1 species
GGACUGGGCUCAGUUGGUAGAGUGCUUGCCUCUAAUGCACAAGGCCCUGGGUUCAAUGCCCUGGGUUCA